UACGGAGGGUGCAAGCGUUAAUCGGAAUUACUGGGCGUAAAGCGUGCGCAGGCGGUUUGUUAAGUCUGUUGUGAAAUCCCCGAGCUCAACUUGGGAAUUGCAAUGGAUACUGGCAGGCUGGAGUAUGGUAGAGGAAGGUGGAAUUCCCGGUGUAGCAGUGAAAUGCGCAGAUAUCAGGAGGAACACCGGUGGCGAAGGCGGGUCUCUGGGCCGAUACUGACGCUGAGGAGCGAAAGCGUGGGGAGCGAACAGG
rnacentral:rRNA from 1 species